rnacentral:rRNA from 1 species
AACAAACGCUGGCGGCGUGCCUAAUACAUGCAAGUCGAACGGGGAAAGCUUUCGGGUGAGUACUAGUGGCGCACGGGUGAGUAACGCGUGGAUAAUCUGCCUCAGAGUGGGGGAUAACUAGUCGAAAGAUUAGCUAAUACCGCAUAAGACCACAAGAACUGCGGUUCAAGGGGUCAAAGGUUUUUCGCUCUAAGAUGAGUCCGCGUAAGAUUAGCUAGUUGGUAGGGUAACGGCUUACCAAGGCGACGAUCUUUAACUGGUCUGAGAGGAUGCUCAGUCACACUGGAACUGAGACACGGUCCAGACUCCUACGGGAGGCAGCAGUAGGGAAUAUUGCACAAUGGAGGAAACUCUGAUGCAGCGACGCCGCGUGAGUGAGGAAGGCCUUCGGGUCGUAAAGCUCUGUCGCAGGGGAAUAACACAAUGAAGGUACCCUGUAAGAAAGGAUCGGCUAACUUCGUGCCAGCCGCCGCCGUAACAC